rnacentral:lncRNA from 1 species
CAAAAUGGAAUCAUUAAUUUUCUUCUUUGACCAAUUGAAGAGAUGAAUUAACAACUCUCCUUGCCUUCUUUUCAAAUUCUUUGCAUUUCUCCAAUAAGAUCUAGGGGACUAUAGUGAAUCACUCGUUUACUAUCUGCGCUGGAUGCACCCACAGUAUUUGGUGUGGAAGUUUUACAUGUAUCCAUAAUGGAUGACACUGGCUUGUAGUGUCUGUGCACACGCACACACUCUUUACGAAGGUCUGAGGUUUUAGAUGAACUAAAAUCACUGACCUAACAUGAGCAAUUAAUGAGAUCUUGAAAGUUCGCAAGAACUCAUUCAAAACCAUUUAGGCUUAGUCUCUUUUAUGGAGUUAAUUCUGACAACAUUUUCAGGUUGGUUUGUUUGUUUUAUGGUCAUCCUUCUGGUCGGGUUUUCUACGCCUUGACUCAUUCGGGGAGUAAUUAGUAUUUUUUCUCAAAAAUCCCCCAUUUCAGGAUGCCUGAGUGGCUCAGUGGUUGAGCAUCUGCCUUCAGCUCAGGGCGUGAUCCCUGAGUCCCGGGAUCGAGUCCCACAUCAGGCUCGAGGGAGAAGCAGGGAGCCUGAGGUGGGACUCGAUCCCGGGACGCCGGGAUCACGCCCUGGGCUGAAGGUGGUGCUAAACUGCUGAGCCACCCGGGCUGCCCAAUAAAUAAAAUCCUUAAAAAAGACUCCUCCAUUUCUUGAGAUUUAAGAUCACAGCAUAAAGUCAUAAAAGGAAUUCAUCUUCAUGUCUCUAUUUUGUAUUAUAUUCAAUGGAUCAUUGCUAAUUUUGUGCAUUAGGUCUUUCUCUUCUUUUUUGAUUAGGCAAACUGAUGUUUGUUAGGGUGUUUUGGGUGAUUGUCUUGGCCUCAUCUGUCCAAGGGCCCAGCGAGGUUCUGUGAACAUCCUCCACCACCUCCUGGGAGACCGCCCUGAUUUCCUGGAAGGUGGAGGGAUCGAGAGUGUUUACUACGUUCCUUCAAUCCGGUCCCAUAUGCUCAGGAACUAGCUCCUGCUCCUCUACGUGUGCGACAGAGGUCAUGUGCUGGAAAGGCGUCCCCCAGCCUGAUUUCCUCCCUCCUUGCUCCUGAUGCACCUUCUGAGCCUCUUCCUGGCGGGGAGGCUUUCAGGUCCCAGGAGCAGAAGAUGAAAGAUCUCCUGGGAGGAGGGUACGGCAACCGCGUUUGCACCAAGGUGAGGCCGCCACAGCCUUA